GUGGGGAAUAUUGCACAAUGGGCGAAAGCCUGAUGCAGCAACGCCGCGUGAGGGACGACGGCCUUCGGGUUGUAAUCCUCUUUUAGUAGGGAAGAAGCGAAAGUGACGGUACCUGCAGAAAAAGCACCGGCUAACUACGUGCCAGCAGCCGCGGUAAUACGUAGGGUGCAAGCGUUAUCCGGAAUUAUUGGGCGUAAAGAGCUCGUAGGCGGUCUGUCGCGUCUGCUGUGAAAACUGGAGGCUCAACCUCCAGCCUGCAGUGGGUACGGGCAGACGAGAGUGCGGUAGGGGAGAUUGGAAUUCCUGGUGUAGCGGUGGAAUGCGCAGAUAUCAGGAGGAACACCGAUGGCGAAGGCAGAUCUCUGGGCCGUAACUGACGCUGAGGAGCGAAAGCGUGGGGAGCGAACAGGAUUAGAUACCCGGGUAGUCC
rnacentral:rRNA from 1 species